rnacentral:rRNA from 1 species
AAUGGGUCAGCGACUUAUAUUCUGUAGCAAGGUUAACCGAAUAGGGGAGCCGAAGGGAAACCGAGUCUUAACUGGGCGUUAAGUUGCAGGGUAUAGACCCGAAACCCGGUGAUCUAGCCAUGGGCAGGUUGAAGGUUGGGUAACACUAACUGGAGGACCGAACCGACUAAUGUUGAAAAAUUAGCGGAUGACUUGUGGCUGGGGGUGAAAGGCCAAUCAAACCGGGAGAUAGCUGGUUCUCCCCGAAAGCUAUUUAGGUAGCGCCUCGUGAAUUCAUCUCCGGGGGUAGAGCACUGUUUCGGCAAGGGGGUCAUCCCGACUUACCAACCCGAUGCAAACUGCGAAUACCGGAGAAUGUUAUCACGGGAGACACACGGCGGGUGCUAACGUCCGUCGUGAAGAGGGAAACAACCCAGACCGCCAGCUAAGGUCCCAAAGUCAUGGUUAAGUGG